UUCUUUUCUUACCCUUAGUCUUAGUUCUGCAUAAUAAUGUCUUCAACAGAAGUAACUUGUGAGCUGAAGACAACUAAAUUAGGAGUAAUCAGCAUCUAUCCAGAGGGGAAAACUAUUUUCAAAGCUGGAGAGAAAGUGAUGAUUACCUGCUCUGAGAGACACUGGCUCAUUUUUACAAAAGAAACCAGCAAAUUAUUCACGUGCCUAAAUAGUGGAGAUUGGGAUCACAUGACUGAGUGUGCAGAGAUUAGUUGUGAAGUUCCACAUAAUCAGCAUGUGUAUUAUCCAAGCGGUUACUUUAGAAGAGAUUUGAGACUUGGAGUGAAAAAAACAUACAGAUGUGAGUCUGGAUAUCGUGAAACAGCAAAAGAAGCAACAUGUACACGAGACGGAUGGACACCAAACCCACUGUGUGCUGAAAUUGUGUGACCCAAGUCACUUUUAAUUCCCAGCCCCAAUGGACAGUCAUACAGCAAUUGCUUAUUAGUGUAGCGUGUCUGUACACGAAGACAACACAAGGAUGAGAUCCAGCCCUGGUUUUAAUCUGAUCAGUGAAUCGCAGGCGACAGAGGCACGUACAGGAAAAUCGACAGCCUGUGGCUAUUACAUAAAGAAACAAACAAACCAAAAACAAUUACAUGGAAAUAAAACUGAUUACAAAAA